rnacentral:rRNA from 1 species
GACGAACGCUGGCGGCGUGCCUAAUACAUGCAAGUAGAACGCACAGUUUAUACCUUAGCUUGCUACACCAUAGACUGUGAGUUGCGAACGGGUGAGUAACGCGUAGGUAACCUGCCUGGUAGCGGGGGAUAACUAUUGGAAACGAUAGCUAAUACCGCAUAAUAUUAAUUAUUGCAUGAUAAUUAUUUGAAAUUUGCAAUUGCACCACUACCAGAUGGACCUGCGGUGUAUUAGAUAGUAGGUGAGGUAACGGCUCACCUAGGCGACGAUACAUAGCCGACCUGAGAGGGUGAGCAGCCACACUGGGAGGGGGACACGGCCCAGACGCCUAGGGGAGGGAGCAGUAGGGCAUCGUCGGCAAUGGACGGAAGGCUGACCGAGUAACGCCGCGGGAGGGAAGAAGGGCUUCGGAUCGGAAAGAGCGGUUGUAAGAGAAGAACGGGUGUGAGAGUGGAAAGGUGACACUGUGACGGUAUCUGACCAGAAAGGGACGGCUAACUACGUG